rnacentral:misc_RNA from 1 species
GAUGAAGAACGUAGCGAAAUGCGAUACGUAAUGUGAAUUGCAGAAUUCAGUGAAUCAUCGAGUCUUUGAACGCACAUUGCGCCCCCUGGUAUUCCGGGGGGCAUGCCUGUCCGAGCGUCAUUGCUGCCCUCAAGCACGGCUUGUGUGUUGGACCUCCGUCCUCCUCCCGGGGGACGGGCCCGAAAGGCAGCGGCGGCACCGCGUCCGGUCCUCGAGCGUAUGGGGCUUCGUCACCCGCUCUUGUAGGCCCGGCCGGCGCUUGCCGACACAUCAAUCUUUUUUCCAGGUUGACCUCGGAUCAGGUAGGGAUACCCGCUGAACUUAAGCAUAUCAAUAAGCGGAGGA